AUGCGCAUCAUGCUUGACUACACUGGCAAGUUCAAGGCUCUAGGCUGGGACAAUCACUCCAUGUCAUGGACACUCAUCAAUGAGCACCCCAAUAGUGCUUGCGAUCUCUACGCCUCUUGUGGCCCGUUUGGCUAUUGUGACUUCACCAAGGCCAUUCCAACAUGCCAGUGCUUUGAUGGGUUUGAGCCUGUAGACAGUAGUAACUCUUUUAAAGGAUGUCAGAGAAAAGAAGCGUUGAAAUGCCGCAAGCAAAGCCAUUUCACGUCUUUUCCUGGAAUGAAGGUUCCUGACAUGUUCUUGCAUAUAAGCAACAGAAACUUCGAUGACUGUGCAGCUGAGUGCAUCAACAAUUGCUCGUGUACAGGGUAUGCUUAUGCCAACUUGAGUAGCGGAGGUGCUAUGGCUGACCCGUCAAGGUGCUUAGUUUGGUCAGGGGAGCUUAUUGAUGCUCAGAAGAGAACCGUUGGCGAGAACCUGUACCUCCGACUUGCCAAUCCUGUCGACAAGGAAAUCGGUCCAGUAAAGAUUGUAGUCCCCAUUAUAUCAUGUCUGCUACUACUAGCAUGCAUAGUCUUCAUCUGGAUAUACAAAUAUAGAGGCAAAUGGGGAAAGCAGAAAUACCAGAAGAAACUGAUGCUAGGAUACAUUAGCACAUCCAACUCACUAGAAGGCAAAAAUACGGAAUUUCCAUGUUUUAGCUAUAAAGACAUACUUUCAGGAACAUUUUUUUUUCUGAUUCCAACUUGCUUGGACGUGGAGGUUUUGGCAAAGUUUACAAGGGCACACUGGAAGGUGGAAAUGAAGUUGCUGUCAAAAGGCUUAGUAAGAGUUCUGGGCAAGGUAUAG
rnacentral:rRNA from 1 species